rnacentral:ncRNA from 1 species
GACUUAGUCCUGAUCUUAAAAUCAAUUUUUACUAAACUUAUACAUGCGAGUCUCCGCACCCCGGUGAAACACGCCCUCAGCCUCUAUCCAGAGCUGACUGGAGCCGGUAUCAGGCGCAUCUAUUUGCCAAAGACACCUAACCCCACCACACCCCUAAGGGCCCUUGCAGCAGUGAUUAACAUUGAGCAUGAGCGAAAGCUUGAUUCAAUUACAGUAAAUAGAGCUGGCAAAGCUAGUGCCAGUCGCCUCGGUUAAACUACGUCAGCCCAAAUUGAUUUUUUUCGGCGUAAAGCGUGAUCAAAUUUAAUUUUACAAUAGAGUUAAAACUUAAUUUUAUUUUAACUAAUAGACUCAGUAACGAAAGUCACUCUACCCCCUUCAAUUGACUCACGAAAACUAGGACCCAAACUGAGAUUAGAGACCCCACUAUGCCUAGUCAUAAACUAUUAUUUACACCACAACCGCCAAGGUACUACGAGCUAAGCUUAAAACCUAAAGGACCUGACGGUGCCCCAUGUCCCUAGAGGAGCCUGUCCUAUAAUCGAUAAUCCGCGUUAAACCUCACCAUUUCUAGCUUUUUCAGCUGGUAUACCUCCGUCGUCAGUUAUCCAUUUGAGUGUAACCAAGAUGGCUAAAUGUUUCUCACAAUAUUCUAAGGAGACAACAAAACGUCAGGUCAAGGUGCCGCCCACGAAAUGGAAUAAGGAUGGGCUACACUCUCUAUCUUAGAGAACCAGAAGACACCGUGAAAUCUGGUGCCGAAAGACGGAUUUAGCAGUAAAAAAAUUAUAGAACGAUUUUUUUAACAUUACUGGGUCGCGUACUCACCGCC